GACGAGUGGCGGACGGGUGAGUAAUGUCUGGGAAACUGCCUGAUGGAGGGGGAUAACUACUGGAAACGGUGGCUAAUACCGCAUAACGUCGCAAGACCAAAGAGGGGGACCUUCGGGCCUCUUGCCAUCAGAUGUGCCCAGAUGGGAUUAGCUUGUUGGUGAGGUAACGGCUCACCAAGGCGACGAUCCCUAGCUGGUCUGAGAGGAUGACCAGCCACACUGGAACUGAGACACGGUCCAGACUCCUACGGGAGGCAGCAGUGGGGAAUAUUGCACAAUGGGCGCAAGCCUGAUGCAGCCAUGCCGCGUGUAUGAAGAAGGCCUUCGGGUUGUAAAGUACUU
rnacentral:rRNA from 2 species